GUUACAACAGGUAGGUGAGUGGGUGGGGGCGGGCAGGUGAGCUCAACUCCCGGAUCAGCCGGCUCCUGGCACGGCGACCUCUCUGAGCCUCACCUGUGGAACGACCUCAGAAGUAUCAUCCUGCGGGACUGUCGGGAGGAUUCAACCAGGUGUCUGAUGAGGACUUACACUGGACAUCAAUGAGGAAUUUCUCUCAUGUAACAAGCAGAAGAAUAUGUUGGGUCUCCAUCCUCCCUAUUGUAUGAGGCAAAGCUCAUCCUUGCACCAUCGUGGAAUGCUCCUUAGCCCUUGAGAAGGAAGAGGCUGGCACUACAUUUCCCAGACCCCUUUGUGACUGUGGACCAUACCUCAUCCACUGUGUGAGUUUCAGAAGGUGGAGAAUAGGAGCCGUGUUGACCGCCAAGAGUUGUUAUGUUGUUAGGGAAGCUUCAAGGACCGGCUCCCACUGUCUGGAGGAGGUUUGAGAAGCUAAAUAUGAAGGUGACUGCUUCUACCCCUGUCCAAACAGUACUGGAUUAGCUUUGUCCACAAAGAGGAGACAUUGAAAAUGGGUCCUUGCAAGCCUCAAGAGCCAAGCAUUUCCUACUUCAACCCUCAGGUGGGGCAGGCAGGACUUGCUCUCACAUGUUAGCAACUCUAUUUCUUUACGCCACCCCUGCCAUAGGCGUAAUCUAGAAGUGCGGUCUCCCAACCACUCUCUUGUAGUUGGAGGAAUGGUGGAAUCUACCCCACAGCUCGGCCAUCAGCUGUGCAUACCAGGUAACCACACGAAGGCCUCAGCUCCAGCCCAGGAAGCUUUGUUCCUGGACUGAUGCUGACUUCUCGUUUCCUUUUGCUGAGGUCAAAGCUGCACUCAGUUCUGCUCUAAGAGUCGUUCAUGAAGAGGAAGAAAUAUUACCUGUUGGGGUGGGCAUUUGGCCUAGUGGUUAACUCCUUUGUCCCACAUCAGAGUGCCGGGGCUGGAUACCUGCCCUCACCUCCUGUGUCCAGCUUCCUGCUAAUGCGGAUCAUGCUGACAAUGAGGAUGACUCAAGUAAUUGCAGCACUGCCAUCUACAUGAGAGACCUAGAAGAAACAAAACCAGCAAGAUGUAUGUAUGACAGCACUUCAAAAAGUUUGUCAAAGUGGAAGUUAAAGGUAAGUGUAGGGGCCAGGGCUGUGGCAUAGCAGGUAAAGUUGCUGCCUAUAGUGCCAGCAUCAUAUGGGCACUGGUUCGAGUCCUGGCUGCUCCACUUCCAAUCCAACUCUCUGCUAUGGCCUGGGAAAGCAGUAGAAGAUGGCCCAAGUCCUUGGGCCCCUACACCCAUGUGGGAGACCUGGAAGAAGCUCCUGGUUCCUGGCUUCAGAUCAGCGCAGCUCCGGCAGCCAAUUGGGGAGUGAAUCAGCGGAUGGAAGACCUUUCUCUUUCUCUGCCUCUUCUUCUCUCUCUGUAACUCUGCCUUUCAAAUCAAAAAAUAAAUCUUUUUUUUUAAUCUAAGUUUAUUUUGGUGCGAAAAAUUUGAAAACUAUGUGCAGUUUUUUUCAUAAUACACAUUCCCCAUAAACUCUUUGAAGCUCCCUUGUAUAUAUAAAAAGAGACUUUUAAAAUAUUAUUAAAUAUUUAUUUAUUUAUUUGAAAGGGAGAGCAACUGAGAGAGAGAGAAAGAGAGAGAGAUUGAUCUUCCAUCCACUGGUUUAGUCUCCAAAUGGCCACAAUAGCUAGGACUGGGCCAGGCCAAAGUAAGGAACCAGGAACUCCUUUCAGGUCCCCCAUAAGGGUGGCCUGAGGUGCUGGAGGAAGUAGAUCAACCUCUUAGACUAUACAGGACUUCAACUAAUUGGAUGGGGCCAAAAUAAUGUUUGAGCAUACCUGGGUAUUGUGGCCCAGCCAAGCGGACACAGAGCUCACCACCCCAGGGCCUUUGUUCCUAAGUGACAGUCGCUAAGUCGCCCUGCCCUGUCUCGGGUGCAGUUCCUUCAUUGUACCCCUCCCGUCUCCCGUGCCCUGACUCCAGGGACCUGGGGGUCAUGGAUAUGGGAUAGGAUGGAAGAGGGGUGCUGGGUUCAAAGUUAAUCAGUAGAAUAUAGGGCUCAAAAUGUGCUUUUCUCACGGAUGCCCAGUGGGUACCUCCAGGCCAAGCCAGCCAACACUCUUUCCCCUCAGGGUUAUUUUGACAUCAACUUUCCACGCCAGGCUUCACCGACAUCCUAGUCCUGGAGGACAAGUUUGGCCAACCGCUGUCCUUCCGGCUACCCAGUACCCCGGCCUCUAGCACACACCCCAGACUUCCUGGAUCCACGUAUGUGGCUGAGCCCAGCCAUGGUGACAUUAGUCAUGUUUAUUGUUGAUCCAAAACAAGGGUAAGCUGUAACCAAGGCCUCGCCGUGGUUUCUGACUUCAGAGUUGCUCACUAACUAUAACAAGACUGUAAAAAGGACCCAAAUAGAAAUGGUGUGUGCAGCAAGAGCAGACAGGACUGGAGGCCAGACGCCCCCCCUGCAGGAAGACAAGGGAGCUCGUCUCCAUCCCUGGAACAAAGCCCUGUACACGUCCCCUUCACUGUCACCUGAGCAUUGCCUGGUUGGCUGGUUGGUUGUUUUUUUUUAAUAACAGCUGUAUUGAAAUGUUCACAUUCCAUACAAUUCACCCACAUGAAAUUUACAUUUCCGUGGCUUCAGGGUAUCCGCAGCGUUGUGCAACCAUCAUGACUAAACAAUGUCAGGACAUUUUCGGCGUUCCCCAGAGAAACCCUAUAUCCUGAAGCCAUCACUCAUUUUCCUCUGCACUCCUCAGCCCCUGGCAACCACUCAUCUACUUUCUGUCUCCAUGGAUUGACCUAUUCUACACAUUUCAUAUGCAUGGAAGCACCCAAAAAGGGGUUCUGACUAAUUUCUAAAGAGGUAAAAUGAAUGUAGAGCUUGCCGUGACAGCAAGAUAGCCACACCACAUGCUCACUUCCCAGGGAUCACUGACCAUCGCUCAUCGUCAUGCAAAAGGCUGGAAAGAAUUCAGGGAGAGUUCCAGCGGCACUGAGCAGAAAGAAAUCCUAGAAGCUAUAAAAAUUCAACUUACCAUCAAAGGAGGUUCUAGGACACAAUUAGUGGCCAAGGCAUUUACAAUGACAUCCAGAGUCCGUCUGUUGCUCGACCUGGCAGCCGGGUGGCAAAUUCCUGCAGUCCAAUCGUGUCCUUUAAAGUGUGCUUCUUGGGGAAUGUGUUCCCCUACCACUUGUAAUUUUCUUUGCUAGGGGGAUUUUGUCAGUAUGGAAGAGACAUUUUCUUUUGUUGUCAUGUUUUGAUUAAGAGAGGAGUGUAGGCCCGCGCCCCAGCUCACUAGGCUAAUCCUCCGCCUUGCAGCGCUGGCACACCAGGUUCUAGUCCCAGUUGGGGCGCCGGAUUCUGUCCCGGUUGCCCCUCUUCCAGGCCAGCUCUCUGCUGUGGCCAGGGAGUGCAGUGGAGGAUGGCCCAAGUGCUUGGGCCCUGCACCCGCAUGGGAGAUCAGGAUAAGCACCUGGCUCCUGCUUUCGGAUCAGCGUGGUGCGCUGGCUGCAGCACGCCGGCCGCGGCAGCCAUUGGAGGGUGAACCAACGGCAAAGGACCUUUCUCUCUGUCUCUGUCUCUCUCUCUCUCACUGUCCACUCUGAAAAAAAAAAAAAAAGAAGAAGAAGAAGAGAGGAGUGUAGAGGAUGUAAAAUCAAAUUUGCAUUUUACUAAAAUCACAUCAGAACCUAGCCCCAAGACCAAGAAUCCAAAUUUUGCUAUCCUGUAAUGCUGUGUCUUUGGAUGAUAAGAAAACAAAAGUGCUUAAGGGAGCCAGUAUUGUGUUACCACUGGUUAAACUGUGGCUUAUGACACUGGCAUCCCAUAUUGUAGUGCUGGUUCCCUGUUUUCUAUCCAGCUCCCUGCUAAUGUACCUAGAAAGUCAGUGGAAGAUGGCCUAAGUACUUGGGCACCUGCUGCCCACAUGGGAGACCCAGAUGGAAUUCCUAGCUCCGGGCUUUAACCUGUUAAUCCCAUUUGGGUGCUGGUUCUAGUCCUGUGUUCUACUUACAAUCCAGCUCCCUGCAAAUGCACCUAGGAAAGCAGCAGAAGAUGGCCCAAGUGCUUGGGUCCCUGUACUCGUGUGGGAGAUUUGGAGGAGGCUCCUGGACCCUGGCUUUGAAUCAGUCCAGCUCCAUCUGUUGUGGCCAUUUGGGGAGUAAACCAAAGGAUAGAAGAUUUUUCUCUCUCUCUAACUCUGCAUUUCAAAUAAAUAAAUAAAUCUUAAAAGCAAACAAAACAAUUUGUGGGGCUGGUGCUGUGGCAUAGUGAGUUAAGCCACCAUUUGCUACACCAGCAUCCUAUACAGGCACCAGUUCGAGUCCUGGCUGCUCCACUUCCCAUCCAGCUCCUUGCUAAUGGUCCUGGGAAAGCAGUAGAAGAUGGCCCAAAUCCUUGGAUCCCUGUACCCACGUGGGAGACUCAGAGGAAGCUUCUGGCUCCUGGCUUUGAUCAGGCCCAGCCUUAGCCAUUGAGGCCAUUUGGAGAGUGAACCAGUGGAUGGAGGAUCUCUUUCUCUCUCUCUCUCUCUCUUUCUCUCUGUUUCUCCUUGCCUCUUCAUAACUCUGCCUUUCAAGUAAAUUUUUGAAAAUAUUUUAAAAUUUUUCCUUUUGUUUAUUUAAAAGGCAGAGAAACAGAGAGACAGAGAUAAAACCCAUCAUCUCCUAGAUCACUCCCCAAGUGCCCACCACAGUUGGGCUGGGCCAGUUUGAAGCUAGGAGCUAGAAACUCAGUCUGGGUCUCCUACACGGGUAGCAGGGCCCCCACCACUCACAUAAUUACUUGCUUCCUCUCAAGGUGCUCAUUGGCAGGAAGCUGGGACUAGAGUGGAACUGGAGCUUGCACCCAGGUACUCCCACAUGGGAUAUGGGUAUCCCAAACCACAUCUUAACUUCUGUAUCAAACACCCUCCCUGGGUAUGAAGUUUUUCAAGUUUUCAGUUCCUCAACCCCAGUGUGAGAAAACCCUUCUGCAACAAAGGACUUCAGUAUUUCUUUUUCUAGUCAAUGUAUUCUCCCUCAUUUAACACCUUUGCACUCUCCCAAGCAAAAAAACUUUUUAGGCUGUUUCAAGGAAUUAUAAAGAAGGUUUAUUAGAAUAUAAUUUCCUUAUACAACCAUGCCUUUGCUUUAGUUCACUAAAACAUGCAACACACAUCCUGGGAUUCAUUUCUAAAACACUUUUGGGUCUUGGGAUAGUGGGUUUCAUUGUGCUACAAUUAAGUACAGAUAAGUUUCUCCUGCUUGUCUAUUUUAUGAAUAAAUAGGAGAACUCAAAAGCUCCCAAAACAAAGUAACGAAGAGGAGAGGAAAAUGUUAAUUAACCUGAUUUGAGCAGUACACAGUGAAUAUAUUGCAGUAUCACACUGCACAAUUUUUAAGUGUCAAUUAAACUUUUUUUUAAUGUUUAAGGAGAUAGAAAUGCUAACCAACCUGAUCUGAUCAUCACUCAAUGAAUAUAUGUGUUGAUUUAUCACUCUAUACCUUAUAAAUUAAAUAAAAAAUAAAGUAAAAAAUAAAAAGCAAAUAAAGCAGCUUUGAAAUGUUGAGACAAACUAGCUAUUUUAAAACAGAGGAAAGGGCUGGCAUUGUGGCACAGCAGGCUAAGCUGCCACGGGCCGUGAUGGCAUCCCAUAUCAGAGUUCUGUAUUCAAGUCCCAGCUGCUCUGCUUCCGAUCCAGCUCCCUGCACUUACGCCUAGGAAGGCAAUGGCUCAAGUGCUUGGGCCCCUGCCACACAUGUAGGAGACCCAGAUGGAGUGUUCCUGGCUUCUGAUUUCAGCCUGGCCCCAGCCCCAGCCAUUGUGACCAUUUGGGGAGUAAGCCAGUAGAUGGGAGAUUUCUUUCUUUCUCUCUCUCUCUCUCUCUCUCUCUCUCUCUCCCCCCUCCCCUCAUUGCUCUGCCUUUCAAGUAAAUAAAUAAAUAAAUCUUUUUAAAAAGAAAAAAAAAAUUAGCCAGCUUUGACAUUUCCUCUCUCUGGACCCUGGGGUAGGUAUGGUUUUGUUUUCUCAGAGUUAGAAAAUGAUAAAAUGUUGCUCAAAAAGAAAUGUAGCACAAGAGCUUAAGAAUCCUUUGGCAAGUACAGGAGGUCAGUCAAGGACCUGCAUUCGUAACAAAGGUCACUGUGGAGUCUACAGCGUGCAGCGUACGGAAGGCUGGCUCCUCUGCCAAAGGUGCUGCCCAGAUCAGCAGACUUGGGCUGGCAGGGAAAGAGCGGCAGAGCUUAUAUAACAGCAAUGACUAAAGUGGAAGAGCGAAGACAGAGGGUGGGGAGCGCCCCUGAUCCUGGCUCGCUCCACUAGCUACUUGGACACAAAGCUCUCUGUGAAGCACUCCAGGGUGCAGGAGUGUCAGUGAUAGCAGACAGUGAUGCUCCCCUCUCUUUUCUAGAAAUGCUUACAAAGCUCAGGUUACUCCACGGGCUCUUGAGCAAAUGCUAUUUUGCCUUCUUAGAAGCCCAAACCUGGCCAAAGAGGAACAGAGAAAACACAUUACUCAGUGACUCUCCUCAGUGUAGUGAACAGUGAAUACAGAUUGCAAUAAAUGCUGAUUACUCUACACAUGGCUUUCCAGUGUCACCUCUUUCUUGUUCUAACGCCGUCUUCCUGCCUGCAUUUCAGCCUAGGGAGGCAGGAAUACGUGUUCUCCUUUCCUUGCUGUCCUCCAUCACACCUGUCACACAGCAGACAGAGGACACCUGGUUGCUACUGGCUGAGUUGAAGCUGGAGAGCCACACACAGAGACAAAGAACAAACAGGGGAGAGUGGCCAUAACAGCUGGAGCUGAGCCAAUCUGAAGUCAGGAGACAGGAGCUUCUUCUGGGUCUCCCACGUGGGUCAUCUUCCACUGCUUUCCCAGGUGCACUAGAAGGGAGCUGGAUUGGAAGUGGAGCAGCCAGGAUUCAAACCAGUACCAUAUGGGAUGCCAGAACUGCAGGCUGGGGCUUUAACUCGUUGUGCCACAGUGCUGGUCCCAUGUUCAACACAUUUCAAAACCAGUUUGUGUUUUAUCUGCAGUAGCAUCGUGAAACCUAGUAUCCCAAAAGUGUUUUCGAAAUGAAGCCCAGUGAUGCAUGUUGCACAUUUUGCCAAACUAAAGCAAAGUCUUGAUUUCAGAAGCAAAUUUAGAUAUUCAAAUAAACCAUCUGUGUAGUUCCUUGAGACAGUCUAGAAAAUUUUCUGUUUCUUGAGUGUGUGCAAGAGUGUUAAAUGAGGUGGAAGUUAUCGACCAAGAAAGAAAAAUACUGGUGUCCUAUGUUGUAGAAGAUUUUCCUAUCGUUGCAAGAGAAAACCCCCAAAACUUCAAAAAGCUUGGGUAGGCAUUUGGUGCAGCAGUUAAAAUGGAGCUUGGGACAGCAGCAACCUACAUAGGGAUACCUGGGGUUAAAUCCUAGCUCAGCUUCUAAUUCCAGCUUACUGCUAAUGCACACUCUGGGAGGAAGCAUGUGAUGGUUCAGAUACCUGGGUCCCUGCCACCCAUGUGGGAGACCUGGAUUGAGUUCCUGGCUUGGGCUCCUGGCUUUGGCUUGGCCCACCCUGGCUGUUGCAGGCAUUUGCAGAAUGAAUCAGUCAAUGGGAAGCGGGAGUUCUCUGUCUGUCUGCCUUUCAAAAAAUUACACAAAAACAGCAAAAUAGUGAACACAUUCAGAUAUGGGAUAUUACAAUAAGUUGAGGGAGAAGGUUGCAUGUUGGGACCCAAAGUGAGAAAGUCUUGAACUACAAGAGAAAAAGAAGAGCAAAUUGAACAACAACAACAAAAAAAUCAGUAUUUGAAAGUGAAAAUUGGGACCAGCACCGUGGCUCGCUUGGCUAAUCUUCCACCUGCGGUGCCGGCACCCCGGGGUUCUAGUCCGGGUUGGGGCGCCGGAUCAUGUCCUGGUUGCUCCUCUUCCAGUCCAGCUCUGUGCUGUGGCCUGGGAAGGUAGUGGAGGAUGGCCCAAGUGCUUGGGCCCUGCACCCACAUGGGAGACUAGGAGGAAGCACCUGGCUCCUGGCUUCGGAUUGGCGCAGUGUGCCGGCCGUAGUGGCCAUUUGUGGGGGUGAACCAAUGGAAAAGGAAGACCUUUCUCUCUGUCUCUUUUUCUAACUCUGCUUGUUUAAAAAAAAAAAGAGGGGAGAAACUGGGGUAUCUUAUGAAAUGCCUCAAUACUGAAGUUGCCCUCUGAGGUCCCAAUAUAAUGACUGUUCUCAGUUAACAGUUCUCAUCUUAGGAUGCUCAAGACAAUGAUCAGGCAACGAUUAAAAAAGUUAGAUACCAGCAUAUGGGUGAUUGGUGCAGCAGUGAAGAUACCACUUGGGAUGCCCACAUCCUUUGGGAGUGCCUGGCUUUGAGUCCUGGCUCUGGUUCUGAUCCCAGCUUCCUGCUAAUGUGCACCCUGGAAGGUUGCAGGUGAUGGCUCAAGUACUUGGGUCCCUGCCACCCACGUGGGAGACCUGAGUUGAGUUCUAGCCUCCUGCCCUCUGCCUGACCCAGCCCUGGCUGUUGAAAGCAUUUGCAGAUGGAAGUGAAUGGAAAAUUCCCCCUCCCUCUCUUUCUCUCUGUUUUUCAAAUAAUAAGCAAGCAAACAAAUAAAUAAAACUUAAAAAAAAAUCAGAUGCUAAGGCCCAGCUCAGACCUACUGGAUCCAGAACAAAUUUUCUGGUACUGAUAUUUUUAAAGGCACAGCAGGUGAUUCUGAUGUGGUUGAGUCUGCUGCCUGCCAGGGUGCACUUGAGCAGGAAGCUGGAAUUGGGACUAGAGCUGGGACUGAACCCAGGCACUCUGUUAUGGGCUGCUCAUCCAUCAAGGGGUGUUUUGACCACUAUGCCAAGUGCCCACUACUGACAUUUUAUAAGAAGCCCAUACAUGGCAUCCUUACACAUAUCCCUCAGCACUUAUCUCCUUGAGAUAAGGACUCUUAUUUUUAAACCAUCAUUACCACAAUGACAUUAUCAACCUUAAAAAGAUGAACCAUGAUUGUAACACCAACAGAUGUCCAAUCAGUAUCCAAAUUUGCCCAAUUGUAUCAUAAACAAUAUUUUUUGUUUGGACUUGACUGAAUCAGGAUCCAGACAAAGCUCACGCAUCAGAUUUGUAUACGGUCGACUUCCCUCUCCAACCCCUUUCACCAAAAAGGCCUCUUCUGUUUUCCUUAUUGCGACUUUGGUUUUUGUUGUUGAAAAAGUCAGAUCGUUUGUCCUGCAGAGAUGGGAACAUUCUGGAUUUUUUCUGAUUCUACCACCCCCACCCCACAUAGUUUACUGGGGUAUAGUGUGUAUUUCUAACACAUUCCCUAGCCCUGCAAACAGGUAGGUAUAGUUAUGCCUAGGGGCUUGGUAAGAUUCAAAUCCUUUUUCUUUGGGGGGAGGGUGGAAGUUGGUACAGAAAUGCUCCUGUGUAGUUGCAGUUAUUAUAUACCAAAUCAGAAAAAAACUAGCAGCAUAAACAAUUUUUAAAAAUUUUUCUCAUAAUUUCAUGGGCCAGGAGUCUGGGUCAGGGAAUCAGAGUUGGCUUAUGUUUGCUCCAAGAUGUCUGGGACCUUUACUGGGGCUAAAAUAUAAGCUAAAUACACAUCAAUAGCAAUUUGACAAAUACAAUACCGUCUACAGCAUUCCAUUUCUUUAUAGUUUAUAACAGAACUUUGUCCCCAAUCCUCUUCUUUCCAACUAAUGUGUUGAAGAACCUGAGAGUGUGACUGUCUUUAUAGAGGUCAUUGAGGUUCAACUAUAUCACUGGGAGGACGGGUUCCAAGCGGAUGGGAUUGGUGUUUCUAUCACAAGAGGAGAGUAGGACAGAGAAUGGACAGAAGGGAGACCGUGUGCAUGCCAAGGACAGAGGCCUCGGGAUAAUCCAGCCCCAGCCACACCUUGACCUUGGUCUUCCAGCCUCCUGAACUGUGAGGAAAUACAUUUCUGUUGUUUAAGCCAUCGGGUUUGUGAGACUUUGCCACAGCAGCCCUAACAAGCCAACACACGGUUCCUUUUCAUUCUUAGGAUCUAUUACAAUAGGCAUGUGGAGUCAGUUUGCUGUAUUUCAGUGUUACUUGAGAUGAUUUCUCUCUCUGUGGAAUUAAAUCACUAAUUCAAUACACAAUUAAAUUUAUUUGCUUUCUUUUUCUAUUUUUUAAAAAAAGAUUUUUUUUUUUAUUUAUUUGAAAGACAGAGUUACAGAGGGAGGUAGAGCCAGAGAGAGGGAGAGAGAGAGAGAGAGAGAGAGAGAGAGGUCUUCCAUCUGCUGGUUCACUCCCCAAAUGGCUGCAAUGGCCAAAGCUAUGCCGAUCUGAAGCCAGGAGCCAGGAGCUUCUUCCAGGUCUCCCACGUGGGUGCAGGGGCCCAAGGACUUGGGCCAUCUUCUACUGCUUUCCCAGGCCAUACCAGAGAGCUGGAUCGGAAGCAGAGCAGCUGGGACUCCAACCAGCACCCAUAUGGGAUGCCGGCACCGCAGGCUGGGGCUUUAACCCACUGCGCCACAGCACUGGCCCCUCAUUUGCUUUCAAUUUUUAGGAUUUUCCUUUGGCCUCGCAGUUUUAUCAAGUUUUAUUUCAUGACCUCUAAAAUAAGGCCCAUUCUGAGGAAUCAUGUCUAACUUCUGGUUCUCUUUCCUCCAUUCUACUCCUCCAUCUCUGCAGAUAACCAUGUUUACAAGUGUUUGGUUUAUGUUUCUGGUCCUUAACAUUUUUUAAAGUAUUUAUUUUUGUUUCUUUGAAAGACAGAGAAAGAGGGAGAUAGAGACGGAAUUCUUCCUUUUGCUGGUUCAUUCCCCAAAUGCCCACAACAGCUGGGACUGGGCCAGGCCAAAGCCAGGAGCCUGGAACUCAAUUCGAGUCUCCUACGUGGGGGCAGGGACGCAAGCACCGAAGUCAUCACCCACUACCUCCCAGGGCACACAUUAGCAGGAAGCUGGAAUCGGAAUUAGAGCAGGACUUGAACCCAGGCAAUCUGAUAUGGGAUGCCAGUGUCCCAAGCAGCAUCUUAACUGCUUGUCAAACUCUUGCCUCUCUGUUUGCGUUCUUAUUUAUUUAUUUAUUUAUUUAUUUUUUUAAGAUUUGAGAGGCAGAGUUGCAGCUAGAGAGGGAGAGACAGAAAGAAAGAUCUUCCACCACUGGUUCACUUCCCAAAUGGUCGCAAUGGCAACCUUUAUAGAUGGAUAUCUGCUUCCAGUCUUUGCUUAAAGCUUCCUUUUUAUCUGAGACUGUCAGCGGAAAUCUGAUUACACCUGCCAGGGUCCUACGUCCAUCACUCAAAGUGGCUCUUUCUGUAGCUGGCCCUGAUUGUUAAGGCUGCAUCUUUCACUGUUCUCUCACUCCACAUAGGAAACAUGUUGUGAAUAACUCAAGAUCCCAUAUUCAAGGUAACACUCAUGGUGGGGCUUUUAAAGGGAAAAGAAGUAGCAAUCUAUGAUUCCGUGGGAGUCUCUUCAGCAGCCUGUCCCUCCUCCUUACCCUGUGCACCCAGACCAAGUCAGAGGUUAGACAAAUGCCUCCAGCUCAGCAUUCUGUAGCGUUGUCCCUCCUAGAGCCACAAAAGGAGUGAGCCCACCUCCCCUUAGGCACAGUCUCCCAUCAUUUAACUUGUUAAACGGUUAUCAAGUUAUUUUGAAAACUUUGUGGAAACAGAAUGAAAAGGGAAGUGUAUUUUGUUGCAAAACAUUUUGCAAUCUAUGCAUAGUUUUUCCAUAAUUCAUAUUUUCCAUGAACUUUUUGAAGACCUCUUUAUGCAAAGAUUUGAAAUAUUUUUGUGCCAAAAUAGACAUCAUUUAUUUGUUUAUUAUAUGAGAUGCAGAGAGACAGAGAAAAACACACACAGAUAAACUGAGAGGUAGAGCCCCGACCUGCUGUCUUACUCCCAAGAAGCCUGCAAAGGCCGGGAUGGGCCCAGCGGAGUUAGGAAUUCAAUGCAGGUCUCCCAUGUGAGUGGCAGGGGCCCGACUGCUUGAGCCAUCAACUCUACCUCCCAGUGGCUGCCUUGGCUGGAAGCUGGAGUCAGGGACCGAAGCCAGACACUCCAAGAUGGAAUGUGCUUCUCCCAAUCGAAGUCUUUAAUGGCUAGGCCAAAUUAUCUUUUUUUUUUUUUUUUUUUUGGACAGGCAGAGUGGACAGUGAGAGAGAGAGAGAGAAAGGUCUUCCUUUUUGCAUUGGUUCACCCCACAAUGGCCACUGCGGCUGGCACACUGUGCUGAUCCGAAGCCAGGAGCUAGGUGCUUCUCCUCGUCUCCCUUGCAGGUGCAGGGCCCAAGCACUUGGGCCAUCCUCCACU